GACAGAGGGGGCAAACGUUGCUCGGAAUUACUGGGCGUAAAGGGCGCGUAGGCGGAAUGGCAAGUCGGUCGUGAAAUCCUUCGGCUCAACCGAAGAACGUCGAUCGAAACUGCCGUUCUUGAGGAUUGCAGAGGAGACUGGAAUUCCCGGUGUAGCGGUGAAAUGUGUAGAGAUCGGGAGGAACACCAGUGGCGAAGGCGGGUCUCUGGGCAAUUCCUGACGCUGAGGCGCGAAAGCGUGGGGAGCAAACGGG
rnacentral:rRNA from 1 species